GUCUUUUUGAAUUUUUUUUAAAGUCUAACCUGCCCACUGAAAUUUUUAAAUGGCCGCAGUAUACUAACUGUGCAAAGGUAGCAUAAUCAUUAGUCUUUUAAUUGAAGGCUGGUAUGAAUGGUUGGACGAGAUAUUAACUGUUUCAUAAAAAUUUAUAUUAGAAUUUUAUUUUUUAGUCAAAAAGCUAAAAUUUAUUUAAAAGACGAGAAGACCCUAUAAAUCUUUAUAUUUAGAUUAUUAUAAUUUUAUAGAUUAUUUUUGUUGUAAUAAUUAAUAAUAUUUUAUUGGGGUGAUAUUAAAAUUUAAUAAACUUUUAAUUGUUUAAAUCAUUAAUUUAUGAAUAAUUGAUCCGUUAUUAACGAUUAAAAAAAUAAGUUACUUUAGGGAUAACAGCGUAAUUUUUUUGGAGAGUUCAUAUCGAUAAAAAAGAUUGCGACCUCGAUGUUGGAUUAAGAUAUAAUUUUAGGUGUAGCCGCUUAAAUUUUAAGUCUGUUCGACUUUUAAAUUCUU
rnacentral:rRNA from 1 species